rnacentral:ncRNA from 1 species
GAAAGCCGUAUGCUUUGGAAGAAGCUUGUACAGUUUGGGAAGGGGUUUUGAUUGAUCAAAAAAAAAAUCUACUUCAAC